rnacentral:rRNA from 1 species
UUAAAAUGUUAAUAUUUAAAACUAAAGUAGUAUUAGUUAUGUUCUUUAAAUUUAAAGAUUUUGGCGGUAUUUUAGUCUAUUCAGAGGAACCUGUUCUGUAAUUGAUAGUCCACGAUUAACUUUACUUAAAUUAAAAGUUUGUAUAUCGUUGUUUAUAGAAAAUUUUUUAAGAAAAAUAAUUUUUAAUAAAUUUAAUUAAAUUAUAAAUCAAAUCAAGGUGCAGUUUAUAUUUAAGAAGAAAUGGGUUACAAUAAAAAUAUUUAAACGAAUUAAGAUUUUAACAUGUCUUAUGAAGGAGGAUUUGAUAGUAAUUUUAUUUAAUUAAAUAAAAUGAUUUUAGCUCUAGAAUAUGU